CAGAGAUAAAAGUGGUCGGUGUGCUCUCCAUAUAAUUAGGCACUACGAUGGCCAGAAGCUCAAAAUCCCCCUAACCAAGUACAAUGCUGGCAGAACAAAAAGGCAAGCACUUCAUGAGUACAUCAAGCUGCAGGGGAACUCAUCAAAGUUGGCGCAUGAGGCUCUGUGGACUGUCCUGGCGCCAACGGACUCAUGGGUUGAUUCAAUCCACUCCGGAUAUUCCAGGACAACUUGUUGGAACUGCGUCAGCCGAACAUGACUUCCUGUUUCGAAACCUUUUGCUCUCCCCUGGCCGUCACCGCCAUCUGUGCGACAUAGUCAGGUGCAACAAUCAUUAAAAUGGACAACGAAAUUCAUAGUGGGAUAUCAGGUUGACAUUUAUGGACAUUUACCUCCAUCAUCCCGACGGAAAGAAGGACCAGGAUGGCAGUUUGUUUGGACAUCCAACACAUGUGCUCGAGCUGGUUCUGGCUGCUCUGUAUGGGCAACAUCUCUGGCAGAUGUAGGAGGUGCUGCAAUUGCAUCCGAGGAGGUCAGCUGGCAUGCAUUACUCCUAUGUCCACCUGUAGUCCUUCCACCCUCGUUGGCACCGCUACAGCUGUGAAGGUACAUGAGGACAGCUUGCUGUAAUGUGGAUGCCGAACCACCACCUAUAGUGGACAAUCCGCUUCUACGAGGUUCACCGUCAUCCGUAUCCGUGUCAGACGACCAAAUGAUCAUUUUCCAUUAGAACUCAAAUAAAUGACAAGAGGGAGACACUAAAUGCACGGUGUAAUUUUGCGGCAAUUACCUCCGUUUUCACGAUGAAAGGAAAGACCAGGAUGACAGGUUGCAGCAAUAUCAAAGGCACGUGCACGUGCCCUCCGUUGCUCAAGGGAACGGUUCUCAUUUCCGUCGCGUUCACCAUCUGAAUUGUCAUUAACACCAUGACCGCCUAGCAAGAUGAGGCCGUUCAACGGUGGGUCUUCGUCCAACUCAUCUCCUUCCCUUCCGCUUCCAACUACCAACACGGCUGCAUUUUGCACAAAAACCAGUGGAUCGGCACUUGUGAUGCCACGGCAAGGAACUCUUCAUCCAAGUCUGGAACAAACAUUGUCUCGUAGGCACCCCUGGUGGAACAUCUGAUGACUCGUCGUCUGCAUCUGCAAAACCAGGUUGCUGUCAGUGACAAUCAAUGCCCCCACAGCCUGACUACUGAUAUGUUGACGGUGUUCCUGGCUGCUAUGUUCCAGCUCUUCCCAGUUGAUGCGAUCAUCAUCAUCUCUCUGUGGCGUGUUGUUCCCAUUUGCGUCAACUCCCGUUCCAUGAUCUGCAUGAUUGAAGAUUUUAGUAUCAAUGACAAUUUUUGGUUUUUUAGCUACUAUAUAUCCCAAAACAAAUUAAGAAAGACCCACUGCAUCCUUUAUUGUUUUUAACGACAUUACCUUCGUUGUACCCUUCCACUCCUAGGUCUGAUAGCAUCAACCGAGCCUGCUCAAAGAUGCCUGUGUACACGCAACCAAGCUGGUUCAUAUGAUGUCAGCCUUCAACCAUCAGCUUAAACAGGAAUGCUAUGUACCUUCAAAAAGUUCUGGAUUGCCAAUUGCUUGUUCUACCACAGCUAGUGCAGCGGCAGAUAAGCUCCGCACGCGCUCCCUCCUUUCUGGUUCAGAUUCUCCCUCGGCAUUCAUGUCAACUGCGGCAGAUGAUGAUCCUCUACGAGAUGGAUUCCUCCAGGACCCCCAACCACAGCAUGCCAGACAUUGUUAUCCUGGUUGAAUGCAUCAGAAGGCCUUGUCUGCCGGAUAAUAACACAUCAAGUUAAAAUGAAUAUCAGUUUCCAUGAUCGCCAAGUCUUUUUUCAUAGCUUCCCAUUGUUUUCAUGUGCUACUUAAUUGCAAAAACACAGCAGCACUUACAGGGAAUAUAGUUGGGUACUCUCUUGUAAGGUAGAUUAGCCUCCUGAACACCUGCCCGGUGUAAACGCUGAUACGGGGGAGAGUGUAUGGCUCUACACUAUCUGGCCCAAAGUCCAUCCAGUCGAAGAACCAUGGCUGCAAACAAUCAUGGGGAACAAUUAGUUACAUAACUAUCAAAUGCAGUGCCCUAUAGGGUUCAUGUUAACACAA